AAAUGUCAUUCAACUGUUAAACACUUUUUUUAAAAACUCUGGAAAAUGGAUAUGAGGUGUUUAUCGCAUUAGGAAUAUGUGCUUCUGAAAUUCUGUAGAGGAUGGUGCAUUCUGUAGCCUUUGCUUUCUCUCCCUUCACCUGGACAUUAUACGUUUUACCAAAACUCUUUUUGCUCAAGGAUUGCUUGAUACCAUCAAAAUGUUCCUGAUGAGACUGCCUUAAAAAAUCACUGUUCACUGAGUCACUGUUACAUGUGUUUAGCACAUAUAUAACUUAAUAAAACUUGUUUGGGUUGAAAAGUGUUACUUACGUAUAAAAUAAAGCAGCAUUCUUGGCGUUUCUUCCGCAGGCCAUGUACCCAAAUGAAAAACGGUCCCUUUUUUUUAGAUCCUUUGGGAUAGUCUCCAACUAAAAUUAAGAAAUGCUUGGAGUCGACAAGGGCAUUCCUGCUCAGCAAAGGCUGCAGUGUUCCAAGGUGGACCUGCAAUACUCUCCCUCACAAAUGUCAGAAAGACAGCACAUCCUGUGGUGUCUUGGCUUUGAAAUUUGCUGAGAGCAUUUUGCAGGGGGAGGAUAUUAAUAUCGACACAGACCAAAAGGCAAUAGAGAAGCUGAGGCUGGAUAUUGCCAUGACUCUCGUCCGAGAAUCUGACAAUCUCAGCAACCUCUGCCAUUUUUGUGGGUUGAAGGAGUCUGGCAAACUAUGGGUAUGCUGUGAUGUUUGCAGCAGAUGGUACCACCACGACUGCAUGCAGAAUCCUCCUGUUGAUCAGGACUAUAUUUGUCCAGCAUGCACAUAAGUAAUUGUCAGUUUAUUAGUUUUGUGUUUUAUGUAGGCUUGCUUAUUUAUUUUAU